ACCCCUGAACCCAGCAGCCAGGGGGCUGUGCAGGCUCCCCCACACCAGGGCAGCCCCUGCAAACAACAUGGGGUCCUCAGCACCCACGCUGUUGGGGAGCCCCCUGCCAGACUCCCCAAGUACCCUCUUAGUGCAGGGAGCUCCUGCUCCAGCUGAGCCUUGGGGGCCCGAGCUACAGGACAGGGUUGGGCUGAGCGGCUCCCUUGCCCCCCAUCCUCCCAUUCCCCAGGCCUACAGCUCACUUGGAUUCCCUCCCCAAUUAGAAUAAAGAGUCCCUGAGCAUAACAAGAAGAUCUGGCUCUGUCCAGCUCAGUGCACACAGCAGGUGUCUAAUCAAUGCUAUUCAAGUGGCUGCCCAUGGGCCAACCUCUGGCAACCCCUGGCAGACUGCCCAUGUCUAAUCUGCUGUAGGCCCAGAAGCAAGCUCUCCGAAUGCCGGAGGGAGGGCUCUGAGGACCGCCCGAAUGGGAGCUGGGGAGAGACGGACGAAGCUGACACUCUGCUGUGGGAGAAAUUUAUCAUGGAAAUGGCCCAUGUGCUUGUGGGUAUUGUGCACAUGAACACACACACAUGCACGAACAUUCAAGGAGGAAAUGGCGUGCUCCUGUGCAUGGUGUCCCUCCCCAUACCCCGAGGAGGAAAAAGUGCGACAAACACAAGACAGCCCCACAAAUGUAGUCCAGGAAAGCUGCCCUGGCCAUGGGUUUGCAGACCACCAAGAGGUGCUGUUCCAGGUGCUGGAGACUGAGGCUGAAGACCCAGAUAAAAGGAAGCAGCCAGAGCUGGUUCUUGGGGAGAGCUCCAGAAAGUAAGAAUUAAAGAACCACAGAACUGCGGUUCUCUCUAUUCUGCACAUCUUUCUAGGCGCAUAAAUGGUGUUUAAAAGGAUUCUGUGACUCGGGAUCUUCACUAAACUCAGAAUCCACUCUCACCCCUAAAAUUUGGGGCUUCCGGAUGCACCCUCCAAACUCCAGCCACAAACACAGCCCUGGGCCCAAGCACAAGCCUACAGGUCCUGCACUCCCUCCCUCAGGACAGAAGCUCUCCCAUUCAUCUCUCUGAGGCGGCUCAGUCAGCACAAGGGGUAGGGAUAAAACCCACGCACCUCCAGUCCCCCAAACCAGCUUCUUGCUGUUCAGUCAUUGUUUUCAACCAUAUCCGACUCUUCUUUCUGACCCCUUUUGGACUGAGAUCCUGGAGCCCUUUGCCGUUCCCUUUUCCAGUUCAUCUUACAGAUAAGGCAACAGUAGGAAGAACCUAAAGGAAACUGGCCCAGGAUGAAUCAGCCGCAAGCUGGUUCUUGCCUGUGUCUCCAAGAAACACCUGCUUCUGUUAUAGAAACCACAAACCCUGAAUUUUCAUUUCUGACACUGGCCCUUCAAGCAGAGACUUCUGGAGUCUCCUCCGCCCUCCCCCCCUUUUUAAACCAAGUCUGUGGCUCUGAGCAAGUCACAGCCUCUCUGUCCCCUAGCUG